UACGUAGGCAGCAAGCGUUGUUCGGAAUUACUGGGCGUAAAGAGUUCGUAGGCGGUGCGGCAAGUUCGGUGUGAAAUCCCUCGGCCCAACCGAGGAACUGCGCCCGAGACUGCUUCUCUUGAGUCCCGGAGAGGAAGAUGGAAUUCCCGGUGUAGCGGUGAAAUGUGUAGAGAUCGGGAGGAACACCGGUGGCGAAGGCGGUCUUCUGGACGGUGACUGACGCUGAGGCGCGAAAGCGUGGGGAGCAAACGGG
rnacentral:rRNA from 1 species